rnacentral:lncRNA from 1 species
GGUUUGUGGUUUUUGCUCAUGACAUUAUUGUAGCUUCAUGUUAGAGAAAAGAGAUCAGACUCACAAACAGGACCUCUGUCCUCUGGUCUCCUGGUUUGGAUCUUAAAUGACUGAAGACACACAAGGGAGAAGAUGAUCUGCAGCAUCCUGCUGCUCAUCAUCCUGACCUCCUGUGUCUCUGGAACAUUUGUAGUGAAUGUGACCCAGACCUCCUAUCAGGCAGAGGAGAACCACGACAUCACACUGGAGUGGACCUUCACAACCAACCCUCACAGUUCCUCCAACUCUCUUAAUAUCUUCUGUGAACUGUUAACUGAUCUCAGACCCUCAGUCCUGUUUCAUCUCCAUGAAGGAGUUGAGGUCCCAGAGUCUCAGGAUGAACAGUUUGCAGGACGAGUCCAGUGGGACAAAGACGUCCUCAGAGAAGGACGACUCAGACUUCAUGUGUCCAGACUCAGGACUGAAGACUCAGGACUGUACAAGUGUCAAGUGUUCACAAGUCAUGAGAGGAGCUCUGGUAAAUGUUGGCUCAAUGUCACUGGUAAGUUGAUUCAGGAAAACUGGAGUUUUU